CCCUCGGGUCCGAGUUGUAAUUUGUAGAGGAUGCUUUUGGUGCGGUGCCUUCCGAGUUCCCUGGAACGGGACGCCAUAGAGGGUGAGAGCCCCGUCUGGUCGGAUACCAAUCCUCUGUAAAGCUCCUUCGACGAGUCGAGUAGUUUGGGAAUGCUGCUCUAAAUGGGAGGUAUAUGUCUUCUAAAGCUAAAUAUUGGCCAGAGACCGAUAGCGCACAAGUAGAGUGAUCGAAAGAUGAAAAGCACUUUGAAAAGAGGGUUAAACAGUACGUGAAAUUGUUGAAAGGGAAGCGCUUAUGACCAGACUUGGGCCCGGUUAAUCAUCCAGUGUUCUCACUGGUGCACUUGGCCGGCCCAGGCCAGCAUCAGUUCGGCGUGGGGGAUAAAGGCUUCGGGAAUGUGGCUCCUCCGGGAGUGUUAUAGCCCGUUGUGUAAUACCCUGUGCUGGACUGAGGUUCGCGCAUCUGCAAGGAU
rnacentral:rRNA from 1 species